rnacentral:rRNA from 1 species
AUUGAACGCUGGCGGCAGGCCUAACACAUGCAAGUCGAACGAGUGGCGGACGGGUGAGUAAUGUCUGGGAACCUGCCUGAUGGAGGGGGAUAACUACUGGAAACGGUAGCUAAUACCGCAUACCAUCAGAUGUGCCCAGAUGGGAUUAGCUAGUUGGUGUGGUAAAGGCUCACCAAGGCGACGAUCCCUAGCUGGUCUGAGAGGAUGACCAGCCACACGGGAACUGAGACACGGCCCAGACUCCUACGGGAGGCAGCAGUGGGGAAUAUUGCACAAUGGGCGCAAGCCUGACGCAGCCAUGCCGCGUGUAUGAAGAAGGCCUUCGGGUUGUAAAGUUCUUUCAGCAGGGAGGCGUUACCCACAGAAGAAGCACCGGCUAACUCCGUGCCAGCAGCCGCGGUAAUUC